rnacentral:rRNA from 1 species
AGUGAACGCUGGCGGUAGGCCUAACACAUGCAAGUCGAACGGCAGCACAGUAAGAGCUUGCUCUUACGGGUGGCGAGUGGCGGACGGGUGAGGAAUACAUCGGAAUCUACUUUUUCGUGGGGGAUAACGUAGGGAAACUUACGCUAAUACCGCAUACGACCUACGGGUGAAAGCAGGGGAUCUUCGGACCUUGCGCGAUUGAAUGAGCCGAUGUCGGAUUAGCUAGUUGGCGGGGUAAAGGCCCACCAAGGCGACGAUCCGUAGCUGGUCUGAGAGGAUGAUCAGCAACACUGGAACUGAGACACGGUCCAGACUCCUACGGGAGGCAGCAGUGGGGAAUAUUGGACAAUGGGCGCAAGCCUGAUCCAGCCAUACCGCGUGGGUGAAGAAGGCCUUCGGGUUGUAAAGCCCUUUUGUUGGGAAAGAAAAACAGCAGGUUAAUACCCCGCUGUUCUGACGGUACCCAAAGAAUAAGCACCGGCUAACUUCGUG